rnacentral:rRNA from 1 species
CGCGUAGGUAACCUGCCUGGUAGCGGGGGAUAACUAUUGGAAACGAUAGCUAAUACCGCAUAAUAGCUUUAAUUGCAUGAUUGAAGUUUGAAAGAUGCAACUGCAUCACUACCAGAUGGACCUGCGUUGUAUUAGCUAGUAGGUGAGGUAAAGGCUCACCUAGGCGACGAUACAUAGCCGACCUGAGAGGGUGAACGGCCACACUGGGACUGAGACACGGCCCAGACUCCUACGGAAGGCAGCAG